rnacentral:rRNA from 1 species
GACGAACGCUGGCGGCGUGCUUAACACAUGCAAGUCGAACGGAAAGGCCCUGCUUUUGCGGGGUUCUCGAGUGGCGCACGGGUGAGUAACACGCGAGUAACCUGCCCCUGUCUUUCGGAUAACUUCAGGAAACUGGGGCUAAUACCCGAUAGGAUCUCCUGCUGCAUGGUGGGGGUUGGAAAGUUUCGGCGGUUCGGGCUGGACUCGCGGCUUAUCAGCUUCUUGGUGGGGUAGUGGCUUACCAAGGCUUUGACGGGUAGCCGGCCUGAGAGGGUGACCGGCCACAUGAGGACUGAGAUAGGGCCCAGAAUCGUACGGGAGGCAACAGGGGGGAAUAUUGCACAAUGGGCGGACGCCUGAGACAGCAGCGCCGCGUGCGGGAUGACGGCCUACGGGUUGAAAACCGCUGUCGCCGGUGACGAAGCGUGAGUGACGGUAAUGAGUAAAGAAGCACCGGCUAACUACGUG